rnacentral:lncRNA from 1 species
AAACUUUAUAAUUUUUUAUAUUUAAAAAGGGGUAUUUUUGAAAAUGGAUAGAUAAUUGGGGUAUUUUUAAAAAGGGGUACACCAAAAGGGGUAUUUCUCAAAAAUUCUCAAAAAAGAAUUUCAGUUAAAAAAAAAAAAAUUAAGUUAUAAUAAAGAAAAAAGUGUGGCUUGUAGUGUUUACGGGUUAAAACCCUAUUUAAUUAAUUUUUAUUAUAAGAAAAAUCUCAUAUACUUUAGC